rnacentral:rRNA from 1 species
GCGCAUGCWWGUCUAAGUAUAAAUCAAUUUAUAUAAGUAAAACUGCGGAUGGCUCAUUAAAUCAGUUAUWGUUUAUUUGACAAACUCUUUUACUUGGAUAACUGUAGUAAAUCUAGAGCUAAUACAUGCGAAAAGAUCUGGUUUCAUCUUUGAUGAAGAAGAUUGUAUUUAUUAGACUAAAAACCAUGAUCUCUUUCUUAGUAUAUAUGAAAUGGAGUUCUCUUUCGUGUUUAACGACAUAUAUAUAUAUAAAAAAAAAAUUAAGAUGUUAAGGAACACACUGGACUAAAAGUUGUCUAUCGAAAGAUUAUAAAAAAAACAAUGUAAUAAGAAAAGGAAAAAAAUUAAGAUMCUUAAACAUACAUAUAUAUAUGUCCUCUAUCGAAAGACAACAAAGUUUUGUCAUAUAGUAAGAAGUAAAUUGUAUAAUGGUGAUUCAUAAUAACUUAGCGAAUCGCAUUAGCCUUUGCGCUGGCGAUGGUACAUUCAAAUUUCUGCCCUAUCAACUUGAUGGUACGGUAGAGGCCUACCAUGGUUUUUACGGGUGACGGAGAAUUAGGGUUCGGUUCCGGAGAGGGAGCCUGAGAGAUGGCUACCACUUCUAAGGAAGGCAGCAGGCGCGCAAAUUACCCAAUCCUGAUACAGGGAGGUAGUGACAAGAAAUAACAAUWCAGGUCCCAAUACGGGCCUUGUAAUUGGAAUGAGUUCAAUUUAAACCCCUUAAUGAGUAACAAUUGGAGGGCAAGUCUGGUGCCAGCAGCCGCGGUAAUUCCAGCUCCAAUAGCAUAUAUUAAAUUUGUUGCAGUUAAAAAGCUCGUAGUUGGAUUUUGGAAUAGGGAACAACCGGUCUGCCGGUUGGUAUGCACUGUUGUUCCCAUUCUCAUMUGAUGGAAACUUAUCUCUACUCUUAAAUGAGCGGAGAGUAGAUCAGUGAGAAUAAUACUGAGUUAAAUAUCUUUUGAUAUUUAAUUUCAUGUUAUUCAAUCACUCCUACUUUUGUAAGUUCCAUCUCAUUUACUUUGAAUAAAUUAGAGUGUUUAAAGCAGGCGAUUUUUUGCCAUUGAAUACAUUAGCAUGGGAUAAUAGAAUAAGACUUCAGUUCUAUUUUCUAUUGGUUUUUAGAACUGAAGUAAUGAUUAAUAGGGAUAGUUGGGGACAUUGGUAUUUAAUUGUCAGAGGUGAAAUUCUUGGAUUUAUGAAAGACUAACUUCUGCGAAAGCAUUUGUCAAGGAUGUUUUCAUUAAUCAAGAACGAAAGUUAGGGGCGCGAAGACGAUCAGAUACCGUCGUAGUCUUAACCAUAAACUAUGCCGACCAAGGAUUGGGUGACGUUAUAUUUUUAAAUGACCCCCCCAGCACUUUGCGAGAAAUCAUAAGUCUUUGGGUUCCGGGGGGAGUAUGGUCGCAAGGCUGAAACUUAAAGGAAUUGACGGAAGGGCACAACCAGGAGUGGAGCCUGCGGCUUAAUUUGACUCAACACGGGGAAACUUACCAGGUCCAGACAUAGGAAGGAUUGACAGAUUGAGAGCUCUUUCUUGAUUCUAUGGGUGGUGGUGCAUGGCCGUUCUUAGUUGGUGGAGUGAUUUGUCUGGUUAAUUCCGUUAACGAACGAGACCUUAACUUACUAAAUAGUGGCAGAAAUAUUGCUAUCAAAGCAUCUUUAGGUGAGGUCUUGGGGGAGCUUCGCGGUUUUCUCAGGGCUUUGCUUAGAGGUGUUGGUUUUAUUUCUGGUUUUACUUCUUAGAGGGACUAUUCGUGUCUAACGAGUGGAAGUUUGAGGCAAUAACAGGUCUGUGAUGCCCUUAGAUGUUCUGGGCCGCACGCGCGCUACACUGACGAAUUCAACGAGCUUUAAACUCACCUUGAUCGGAAGGUCUGGGUAAUCUUGUGAAAAUUCGUCGUGCUGGGGAUAGAUUAUUGCAAUUAUUAAUCUUCAACGAGGAAUUCCUAGUAAGCGUGAGUCAUCAACUCGCGUUGAUUACGUCCCUGCCCUUUGUACACACCGCCCGUCGCUCCUACCAAUUGAAUGGUCCGGUGAAAUGUUCGGAUCAGGACCAAACUUGGGGCAACUCUGGAAGGUUCAGAGAAUUUCAUUAAACCUUAUCAUUUAGAGGAAGGAGAAGUCGUAACAG